CACCACGCACUUCGUAAAAAAAAAGACGUACAAUUACAAAAGAGCCCCUCCCAUGUCGAAUUGAUCCUCCAGAUAUUUUCUUCUCUCUCCUCCUCCUUCAUUCUUCUACACCAACAACAAAAAAAAGAAAAAGAAAAAAAACAGUGCUUUCACAAUUGCCACUACAACUUGAAUGGCUUCAUUCCUUGCUUUUUUGUCUGUUAAACUAGUUGUUGACGACAGCUGGAGAUUGAUUGGUGCAUGUAGAUCAUAUCCGUUGCUGAUUGUAUGUGUGGCCUGAACGCCCCCACUCGGUUCACUUCCACAUCCUUGCUCAGAAACCUGGAAAUAGAUAACUUCUCCUUAGAUUAAGUUCAAGGGCAUCUAUAUGUGAGGCAAAAGUUUAAUAUAAAAUUACAUUUUUGUGGUGCAUACUUAAACAAGUGGAGAUUGCCCUGUAGAAGCAUUGUUAAUCAUCUUGGUAAAAAGAUUAAAGACAAGAGAAUAUGGAAGUUGAUAGUUAUUCUAGUAAGACCUUCCGAUUUAGUUCUCUGAUUUCAUCAGUCAAAAUCUGCUCCUGCAAGAAAAGAGUAAUACAUUCAGGAUCCUUAUUAAAAAAAGAAGAGAGAGUAAUACAUUCAGGAGAAACCACAGACUUGAUAUAAGCAUAACUGCAUAGUUUCAUGAACACAGAAGAAUUUAAAUAUGUAGGUUUUACCUUUUGCUUUCGGACGCCUUUCAAACUCAUUUCAAUUUGGUUUUCCAGAUUUGUUAGAUCUUUGAUGCUGAGUCCAGAAAGUUCUUCACCCAGAAGCUGCCUGUGGUUCAUAAAAAAGGAUAACAGUUAGUACCUCAAGAUGGCCCUUAUACGUUUGAGGCAAGACAAGGAAAGAAGAUGAAGUAUGAGAGGUGAUUACAUAGGACAUGUUGCAUUUUCAAAGGAUAGAUAGGGCUGGAGCAGUGUGUUCAUUACGGGUUCGGUCGAACCCAGUAAUUGUGGUUCAAACUCUGAAUUUGUCUUUGAAUAUGUAAAAGAUAUUAAUUUAGAAACCAGUAACUUAAAAGAAAUAGAAUUGCGAACCCUCAAGCUUCAAAUCCUGACUCCGCAUGUAGUGUUUGCGGAAAGGCUAUUUCUAUUGAUAUGGUGACCAGUAAAAAUUUCCUCACAACAUGUUAUCCUUUUCAAAAAAUUUAUCUAUUACUUACCUCUUAUAGUAUAUCCUAUAUCGAUCUAGUUGGGGUUUGAGAGAUCCUCCAUCCACUCUCUGAUAUAGGGAUCUGCAAUUUUAAAGCAUUCUUUGUUAGACAAACGAACUAUCCUUUAAUGGAGUUUUGCUAAAAUAUUCUCAUCUGGACCUUCUCCCUAGCAUUGCAGAUGUCUUUUGUCACUUCAUUCUUCUGCAAAUGCAAAUUAAAAGAGGCAUUAGAUCCUGGUCUCAGAGCGCAAUGGAUAUUUAGGAUUCUUAUGGCAGAACUCAACUGUUUGAGAUUAAGGCUUUGUUGAUUAACCAGAUCAUGGAUUUAGCUUAUGCUGAGAUAAACUGAUUCUAAAUUCAGGCUUAUCAUGUCAAGAUGAUGGUAUUCCUUCUUCCGCUUGUCAGCCAAAUUAUCUUACCUUUCAUGCAGACUCCUUUAGGUUAUAUUCUCUAGUCAAUGCAUAUGGUGGAGUACAAUUAAAUUGUAAAGGUGAGCAUUACUGGCUUUUGUCAGUUGUCAUCCCUUAUUCUCCAGUAACUUCCCUCAUUUUCAACCAUCAUGACUGAAUGACGGCACCACCUUAUUCUCCAGUAACUUAAUGUUUCAGUCAGAGAAGGUGAACAGUUGAUGAUAACAAUAGAUGACAGCUCAAAGCAACCAACUUGGAGGAAUCAGGCUAUCGCCUUGAGCAAGUUUAUGAACUGACAACGAGAAUAGGGGGUCGAAGGGGAAAAAAAAGGGGACAACAAGACAAGCAGUGAAUUAGGGACACGAAGAAACUAGGAAACAGUUAACAAUAAAUAAGCAGGAAAAAGACCGCAAAGGAGAAUAACCUGAAGAUAGCAGAAGCAUGGGAGGAAGGAGAUACAUGAGAGGCAGUACGAAAACAAGAAGGGCAGUUUUUCUUAAAAGUGAUAAAUUUCCCAAGCAGGUAGAGGAAAAUGCAGCAAUAACAGCCACAACACCUGCUCAGGAAAGAUCACAAAGGAAUCGAUCGUUCUCAUAUCCAUGUCGAGGAGACACCCACCGGAAGUUUCCAUGGCGUUGACAAUUCUGGCGUAUACCAACUAAAACUCGGUUGGUGCAUUGUCCAAUGUCAGGUGUUUGAUUGGUUUUUCCGUCCAUUUUUGGCACCAAAGUAAGAACGAUGAACCAGGGUAAGGUUAGCUAAAAGAUUUGAUGGGGCUAAGGAUGGAUCCAAAAGCACAUCUUCGUUAGAUGAAUGCUCUACUGUUAUUGCACUCUUACUGCAUGCAUGAAGUUGACAUACAUGGAUCCUGUGCGCUUGAGACGUUCUUCAUGACUGCUGUGAGCCAUGAUAAAGACUGGUGAACUCGAGAUCAAAGAAACGAAAAGAAGCUGAUAGGAUCACAUGAGUGGUUUGGGCCAAUAAUAACCUUCGUAAUCAUGAGAACUUUUCAGACCAUCAUGUGUGAAGACGAAAAGCCAUUCACUUCUCUUGCUCCUUCAUAGUCCAAGCAAUCAAUUUUUGGGAAACCAGAGUGGUUUAGGUCUUGUUCUACAAUUGAAACUAAAGUGCUCUUUCUGGGCAAUCCCGUUUGCCCCACUUUGAUAUAUUUUAGAAAGCGAGCAA